rnacentral:rRNA from 1 species
GCUGUCACUUUGUUGAUGAUACUAGUAUCGUGGGAGAUUUGGAAGGAACGCGAUAUAAGAGUUUUCUAUAACACCUCCACCCCAACAACGGUGGUUGUUAGGAAGAUCAAGGGGGAAGCCCAUCACUGAUUGUUAGUGGACGCGAAACACUUGAUUAAUGUAAUGCCGGGAGAGUGUCUUUUUUUCUUCCUCUUUGGGGGUAUAUGUUUAAAACUUCUUUCUUAUGAAUGA